rnacentral:rRNA from 1 species
UACGGAGGAUGCGAGCGUUAUCCGGAUUUAUUGGGUUUAAAGGGUGCGUAGGCGGGAUGCCAAGUCAGCGGUAAAAAUGCGGUGCUCAACCCCGUCGUGCCGUUGAAACUGGCGUUCUUGAGUGAGCGAGAAGUAUGCGGAAUGCGUGGUGUAGCGGUGAAAUGCAUAGAUAUCACGCAGAACGCCGAUUGCGAAGGCAGCUUACCGGCGCUCAACUGACGCUGAGGCACGAAAGUGCGGGUAGCGAACAGG